rnacentral:piRNA from 1 species
UUGAAUCAGAUCUCAGUCCUAGGUAGUUCA